GAAACACGGACCAAGGAGUCUAGCAUGUGCGCGAGUCAUUGGGACACAACUAAACCCAUAGGCACAAUGAAAGUGACAGUCCGGCGCUCGCCGCCGGACGACGGAGGAUGGGCUCGUGCCGAUUAAAACCCGGCCGGCCCCGCACUCCGGGGGCGUCCCGAUCUCAUCGCGAGAUGGGGCGCACCAUGAGCGUACACGCUGGGACCCGAAAGAUGGUGAACUAUGCCUGGUCAGGACGAAGUCAGGGGAAACCCUGAUGGAGGUCCGUAGCGAUUCUGACGUGCAAAUCGAUCGUCGGAACUGGGUAUAGGGGCGAAAGACUAAUCGAACCAUCUAGUAGCUGGUUCCCUCCGAAGUUUCCCUCAGGAUAGCUGGCGCUCGUAGCGCACGAGUCUCAUCCGGUAAAGCGAAUGAUUAGAGGCAUUGGGGUCGAAACGGCCUCAACCUAUUCUCAAACUUUAAAUGGGUGAGAUCUCCGGCUUGCUCGAACUAUUUUAGAUGAAGCCGCGAGAUUCGGAUCAGAGUGCCAAGUGGGCCAUUUUUGGUAAGCAGAACUGGCGCUGUGGGAUGAACCAAACGUCGAGUUAAAGCGCCUAAAUCGACGCUCAUGGGACACCAUGAAAGGCGUUGGUAACUUAAGACAGCAGGACGGUGGCCAUGGAAGUCGGAAUCCGCUAA
rnacentral:rRNA from 1 species